AUACCACUAAGUAAUGUAUAUGUUCGUAUGUCGUGCGGCUCCUGUGUGCCAUGGAGGCUUGGCACACAUUGUCUCUAAGUGGGCUGCACUACAUACGACAAUAUACAUUAAAACAAUAUUUUAGCCCUGAAAAUCCUUAUUUCUGUGUGUAGAAUAUCACUCUCCUGGGGGGGCCUGGAGCGCCCCCUUCCUUCACCCAUCUCCCAGCAGCCCCUUAGCUCCCCAGCCCCAAUAGAGACUAAGUGGUGGUGGUAGGGGGGCGGGUGUUCACUCUGUGCUGUCAAGUGAGGGGUGCAGGACCCAAACCCGUACACUUUGCCUCAUGCUUUAAAACAGCGCAUACUGCCUGCAGCCAACACUGAAAAGACACCAGCCUGUUACAAGAGAUUUUCUCUGGAUGUUGGAAUUACAGGGUCGAUUAGGCUUUUCUCUGUCUUUUGAAGUUUCAGGACAUUUCAGGAGGAAUAUGUAUAUAUAGGUUUUGUAUAAAGAACCAGAGCCAGUGAGUUCAUACCCACAGCGCUGACACCGCCAUGGCAGCUGGGACGCCGUAACGGGGGGUCCUGGCUUCUGAGUGAGGGAAGCUCUAGAAUCCCUUUAGGCCAGUGCGGGACGAGCCAUAUGAUUGAUUCAAGGGGACCCAGUUCAACGCGAACAUGCGGGUCCCUUGUUCAAAAAGCAUCAAGACUUUGUCAACGGCAGCAGCCUCGCGUUGAGCCCAGUGCCCAGUGCCGGCUCCCAGCCCAGGAGGUUGACCUCAGGCCAGGAGCUGACCCUAAAGGAACAGGGAAGAGAGGGAUUCAGCUGCCUUGGGGACUGGGGUGUCCCAAACGAGUGAAGACCAGCUGUGCCUGCCAGUUCAGAGCAGGCACAGCAUAAUCGCCCCGGGAGUGGAGGCCGCAGCAGGAUUUGGACCGGGUCUGGAGGUUGUUUUCCUCCAUCUGCAAAUGAGGAAUGUGAGGCCAAGGAUAAAGUUAAGUUGGUGCAAAAGUCAUUGUGGUUUUUGCAUUAACGUAAUAAAAGCUACAGCC
rnacentral:lncRNA from 1 species